AUGUGGGCCCCGUGCGCGGGGACCGCGUGAACCAUGUCAGGCGGGGAACCGAGCAGCAUUAAGCGUUGGCGCCCCGGUGCUGCGGCAAGCCUGCAUCCG
rnacentral:SRP_RNA from 1 species